rnacentral:lncRNA from 1 species
GCUCAGCGGUCUGGAACUUGCAGGAACAUGAGGAAUCCAUGAAUAAAUGUCUCCUGGCAGUCACCUGCUUGCUUAAACUCUUGACGGCUUCCCUCAGCAAUUAAAACAGCAUCCACCCCUGCCUUUUUAGGGCCCAGGAGGUCCUACUUGAUCUGGCUCUCACCUGUCUUUCCAAUCUCCCUUCAUUCUUCUCCAGUACGCUCCGGCUGCUGCACUGGCCUUAUCCUGUGCCUUGGACAUACUCAAGUUUAUCUUCACCUUAGAGCCCUUGAACUUGCUGCUCCUGCCCAUGACCAGCUUCUCAUUUUGGACACAGCUCCAGGGUCACCUCCUCAGAACGGCUUUUCCUCCCCAACUCCAGUUCUCUCUGUCACAUCACCAUUGAAUUGCCCUUAUGCUCCCUUUCAUGACUUUCCGCUCACUUCUCAACCCCUGCCUGUCUUCCCUUGCAAGAAGAUCCCUCUGCAUAAUAUGGAAGAUGAACUGAAGGUGAACCAUGAUGGCAGCAGUAAAGAGGUGCUCCACUAUGAAAAAUGCAAAAGAGCAAGCCUAAGGAGGAGGACUACUUGCCACUACCACUUUCUCAUCUUUUGGGGAAAAUAAUCUCCAGAGCUUUGACUUCCAAGACAGAUCCAAGACAAGGUUGGAGAGCAGAGAGUCUAGAGGAAUAAAACAAUUCAAAGGGUUGGAAUUUAUAUCAAACAGCUUUCUAUCACUGUGACAAAAUACCAGAGAAAAUCAAUUUUAAAAGAGGAAGGAUUUAUUUUGGCUCACAGUUUUAAGUUUUAGUUCAUGCUCACUUGGAUGCAUUGCUUCUGGGCCUGUGGUGAGGCUGAACAUCAUGGUGGAAAGCAUGUGAUAGAGCAAAGCAGCUCCUGUCAUGGUGGGCAGGAAGAAGAGAGGGACAGACAGAGACAGAGAGACAGGCUGAACACAAGAAGUGGCUUUCCAGGUUACACCCCCAGUGACCUACUUCCUCCAACCAGGCCCUACCUCCUCAUUUUCACCACCUCUCAAUAGCACAUUCAAUCCUGAACCCAUGAAUGGAUUAGCCCACUGAUGAGAUUACACCCUUCAUGAUACAAUCACUUCCCCCAAGCCCACCCCUCAACAUUGCUGCAUUGGGGACCAAGCCCCCAACACAUGAGCCUGUGAGAGAUAUUUCAUAUCCAAACCAUAACAGCUACCACUUCCCACCAGUAACAGGGGUGUAGGUCAGUGGUAGAGUGCUUGCCUAGUGUGCACAAGACUCUGGGUUCAGCACCCAGAAUCACAAAACAAAAGGAGGACACCUGGAAGAGAGGACUCUUGAAUACCUAAUUAAGGCUGACUGUAUGGGAAAAAUAUGGGAGUCACCCAUCAUUUGAAUUCCUUGGGUGUUGGUUAUCAGACACUGUCACGGCUUUUUCUCAUGAUGUAUUAUGACGGCAGGCCCUCCAUGCAGUAGUUUUCCCCAUUCACUCCAACUCCUUCACUUUAAAGGUUUGCUUUUCUCCCCAUUCCUUCUUUUUGCUUCUCACAGAUUGCUCAUGCUGUGAGCAUAUUCAAUUUCAUUUGUUCAAGGGCUGCAGGAAGGAAGAUCUUCUGUCUUAGUCAUUUUCCUCCUCACUGGAACAAAAUACCUGCCACCUGCAACUUAAAGGAGGGGAUAUUUAGUUUAGCUCCUGGUUACAGUUCAUGGUCAGCUGUCUCCAAGGUAGGAAACAGCAUGGCAGAGGGGCAUGGUGGAGAAAACGCUUCUCUUAUUUUGGUAACCCAGAAGCAAAGAACAAGUUAGGAACUGUGAAGAAGGUACAUCCCUCCAGGUCACUCCUUCAGGGAUCCUCCUACUGGGACUAGACCCCACUUCCUAACAGCAAGUCAACUAUAGCAUCCCCAUAAUUCAGUCACUUUCCAAAAACCCCACCUAUGAGUUCAUGAGGCUCUUGGGGAACAUAUAGAUAUAAAUCACGUCUUCCUUCCUAUCUCUGUCAGCAGGAAUCAAACAAAAACAGCAAACCUGCUGAGGAUAGAGGCAAAGUCGAAUGGCCUCUGAAUUCUGCAAGGAGUUUGUUGAUUUCUUGCUUGCUUGGGCUUUCUGCCCUCCUCUUCCAUGCCUCCUUUCCCUGCAGUACCUCCAGUCUUCCCGCCGGGGGAUAUUUUCCCCAAGCUUCACCUCCAAUUCUCACAUCAGGGACCCAGCUCACAGUUCUAUGCUAACUUUAGGUCAGCCUCAGUCUUGGUCAGUAGAAAAGCCUGAAGGUAGAGCAGAGAAGCAUUUCAUCCAUGCCCCCAGCCCCACUCGCUUGGCCUUUGAUUCUAAUCCCUGGACUCUUCAACUUGUGGUCUUUGCCAAUUAUUCUCCAGCUUCUUGCCCCAGACCUGUUCUCUAUUCAUCCAGCUCUGUGCUCCCCGAAAGCUGCUUCCUCUGGAAUUUAUUACCUCGGCUUCAUUAUUAACUGGGUUUGGCUGGUAGGAGACACUAGCACGAGGUAGAAAGGGGGUUAGAAAGAGUCGAGGACUUAUCUGCUCCCCUUGGUGCAGCCCUCUUGCAUCCACCCCUAGCAUCUCUCUGCAACACCCAUUCCCAUGGGGAUUAGUUAACCCUAAAGAUGGACCAAAUAUAGAUUUAUAAUAAAUUAUUUAUUGAAUGUAAACCAUAUCCUCAGUUUCAUAUAAGUUUCUUUUUCUUUUAUUGGAUUAAAAAUGAAGUAGGAUAACCUAGAAUCAUGGCAUUUUAGUAAAUGUUUUUAUCUCCAUACACAGGGCAAAGAAAAUUGUUCACCUGAUGUUAUUUAUGAGUGAUGAGAUUUUAGGUGCUUUUUAAACCUUGUUUUUAUACUUUUCCUACAUUGCUAAAAUUCUUAAAAAAUACUUAUUAUUUUCCAAAAAUACUACUUUUGUAAUUAAGAACAGUUCUAGCUUGGGGAUAUAGCUUCAUGGUAUAGCAUUUGCCUACCUUGGGUUCAAUCUCCAGCACCAAAAGUAAAAAAACUUUCUAUCGGGAGGCUGAGAACAGGAGGAUCACCAGGAGUUGGAGGCCACAUAGUGGGAACUAUGUAGUGAGUUCAAAGCCAGCCUGAACUACAUAGCAAAACCCUGUCUCAAAAACCAAAUAAGUUCAUAAAAAGAUAGAUAGAUAGAUAUAGAUAGGCAGACGGACAGACAGAUUCAACCUCAAGGUUGAAAAGGCGAUUAUCUAUUGUCAGUAUAUCUCAUUUAUUUUUAAAAAUUCCAUAUAAACAUUCCACUCCUUUCUCAAAUUGGCUUGAGUUGAAUUCUUUCUAGGGGAAAUGAAGUGGGAGGCAGACAUAAUUAUCCAUGUAAACAAACCAGCUUUCCACUCCACUAGUAUAAAUGCUC